GUGGGGAAUCUUGCGCAAUGGGCGAAAUGCCUGACGCAGCGACGCCGCGUGAGCGAUGAAGGCCUUAGGGUUGUAAAGCUCUGUGGAGAGGGACGAAUAAGCACGGGCUAAUACCCCGUGUGAUGACGGUACCUUUUUAGCAAGCACCGGCUAACUCUGUGCCAGCAGCCGCGGUAAGACAGAGGGUGCAAACGUUGUUCGGAAUUACUGGGCGUAAAGCGCGUGUAGGCUGUUGCGAAAGUCGGGUGUGAAAGCCCUGGGCUCAACCCAGGAAGCGCACUCGAAACUUCGCGACUAGAGUCUCGGAGAGGGAGGCGGAAUUCUGGGUGUAGAGGUGAAAUUCGUAGAUAUCCAGAGGAACACCAGUGGCGAAGGCGGCCUCCUGGACGAUCACUGACGCUGAGACGCGAAAGCGUGGGGAGCAAACAGGAUUAGAUACCCCGGUAGUCC
rnacentral:rRNA from 1 species